AGUAAAUUGGUUAAGUUAGAAAGGGCGCACGGUGGAUGCCUUGGCACUAGGAGCCGAAGAAGGACGGGACUAACACCGAUAUGCUUUGGGGAGCUGUACGUAAGCGUUGAUCCAGAGAUUUCCGAAUGGGGGAACCCACUAUCUUUAGUCGGAUAGUAUCCUUACGUGAAUACAUAGCGUGAGGAAGGCAGACCCAGGGAACUGAAACAUCUAAGUACCUGGAGGAAGAGAAAGAAAAAUCGAUUUCCUGAGUAGCGGCGAGCGAAACGGAAAGAGCCCAAACCAAGAAGCUUGCUUCUUGGGGUUGUAGGACACUCUAUACGGAGUUACAAAAGAAAGUUAUAAAUGAAGCGGUCUGGAAAGGCCCGCCAAAGACGGUAACAGCCCGGUAGUUGAAAUGGCUUUCCCUCCAGAGUGGAUCCUGAGUACGGCGGAACACGUGAA
rnacentral:rRNA from 1 species